rnacentral:tRNA from 1 species
GGAUUGUGGCUUAGCGGUAAAGCACUUGCCUAGCACAUGCGAGGCCCUGGGUUCAAUCCUCAGCACCA